rnacentral:misc_RNA from 1 species
UUUCCGUAGGUGAACCUGCGGAAGGAUCAUUACCAAAUUUUCCCAUUGUUAUCAACAACACCGUGUGUGAACUGGAUGUGUGUUCUCGCUUUGGCCGGCUGGUGAACGGUUUGGCCGAGCGUGUUCAACCCCAUUGUCCAUCUUUUUGCAUUUUUUUUGUUGAAGAGGGCUCUUUUGAGUUUUGCUUGCCUUUUUUUUCUGUGUGAGCGUCUCAAAAGGCCUUUUCUUUUAUGAAAUUUGGAAAUACAACUUUUAACGGUGGAUCUCUUGGCUCGC